UUCAGCAAACCAGAGAAGAUACACUUCAGACAAAAUUGAAACUUUUCAAACUAUAGUAACAGAGAUGUGAAUUAAUAAAUGUCCAAAGAGGAGGCGAAGAGAUGUGAAGAAGUAUAUCAGGUGAGAGUGCUCUGCGAACUCUGCAGCAACAGGUAGAUCUCACAAUAUCAUUUGAUGAAAAUGGUAAAGUUAUUCAUUCAUAAAUCCGUUUACUUGGUUCUAUAUCUCAAAGCAAAACUCACCAAUACACAAAGUAAUCAUUCAAGCAAGCACACAGUAAGCAGAAUCAACUACAAUGAAUAGUAUACAUCAGAAUCAUUGGUUGCUAUUCCCAUUUGGAAGUUGAGAAAUGAACCAGUUAAUCAUUCAUAAAUAACUCAAACCACAAGAUUGUAGUAUCACUCUGACAAUAUGUAAGUUCAUGACUUUGUAGCCAUAACAACACUUUUCAAAUCUUGGACCACCUCAAGCCUAUCUUUAGUACUAAUGCAUUUUGAGGAGAGAGUAAAUCUCUGCAAACGAUUUGUGUUCUUUAUAAUAAUGUAUUUGGCCACUUCUCUAUCUCCUCCUUUCGUUUCCAUUUGUAGCCUUCCACAUGAAUGUCUCAAGAAGAAGCAGCAUACAACAUUCAAGAACAUUCUUUGGUUGAUUUCAUUCUCCACUAGCCAAGACAUUGUUCGUUCAUCCAACCUAUGUCCUGACACAAACAACAAACAUUCAGGAAAACACAAUGUAUAUUAUUAGAUUAGGCAUUGCUUACAUGAGCUUGAGGACUUGCAAUUUAGGAGAAGUAUAUAUGCACCAUUAGGGGAAGUAUAUAUGCGCCAUUAGUUAACUAUGCUGAGUUUACUUGUAAUAAUAUAUAUAUAGUAGUAGUAGUAGAUAGGGCAAAACACACUAGUAGAUCAUGUGCUCUUAACGUCUCUCGCUCAUUUUUCGUUGGAUCCGAUUAAAUUACACAAGGAUAUAUAUGGUGGAAACGAGGCUGCAGAGUAGCAGGCGAAGAGAUGAUGCCACGGAGGAGAAGACGAGAGUGCCCUGCAAUUUUUUGCGAAUUCUCCAGCAACAGCAGUUUUCAGGAGAAUGAGUGGUUUAGACGACGAUGUGAGUUACACUGAGCUCGGGGCACUUAAAAGUCGUCUCAAAGAUGUCAGGGUCAUUGUGGUGGACAAAACGGUGAAGAAACUUGUUCACUAAGGGGUGGUGUGGGAAGAAUGAAUUUACUUCCUUCUUCUAUUAUUGUAAAAUGCUAGUAAUUCUCAAAACCUAUCUUGUAUGACUAUAUAUUCCAGAACAAGAUAAAGCUAGAAGAAGAUGUAAGGCUGCUCAAAGCCUCAAACAGAAGAAGGAAGCAGAGGAUGGUACAAGGAGAGGAGUUUCGGCUCCCUCUGUUAACAGCUCUGAAGAAAAAAAGACAGAAGGAGGAAGCACAACUGAGAAUGGAGAGGGAAUUCGAGAAACGAAAAUCUGAACCCUUGCAGAGCAAGUUCGAGAGAUUGUGGCUUUUCAACGAGUAAUAAUAAUUACUCAUUAGAGCAUAUUUACUACAUCUUAUUGCUCUGAAAAUUAAAACUCUAUGCUUUUUCAACUAUUGGGGUUUAUUUUCUUUGGUCACCUUCACAA